GUGAGGAAUUUUCCGCAAUGGGCGAAAGCCUGACGGAGCAAUGCCGCGUGAAGGAUGAAGGCCUAUGGGUUGUAAACUUCUUUUCUCAGAAAAGAAUUAUGACGGUAUCUGAGGAAUAAGCAUCGGCUAACUCUGUGCCAGCAGCCGCGGUAAGACAGAGGAUGCAAGCGUUAUCCGGAAUGAUUGGGCGUAAAGCGUCUGUAGGUUGUUUAAAAAGUAUUCUGUCAAAGAUUAGGGCUUAACCCUAGAUAGGCAGAAUAAACUUUUAAGCUAGAGUUUGGUAGAGGCAGAGGGAAUUCCCGGUGCAGCGGUGAAAUGCGUAGAUAACGGGAGGAACACCAAAGGCGAAGGCACUCUGCUGGGCCAAUACUAACACUGAGAGACGAAAGCGAGGGGAGCAAAUGGGAUUAGAUACCCUUGUAGUCC
rnacentral:rRNA from 1 species